rnacentral:rRNA from 1 species
GAUGAACGCUGGCGGCGUGCCUAAUACAUGCAAGUCGAGCGAACAGAUGAGGCGCUUGCUCCUCUGACGUUAGCGGCGGACGGGUGAGUAACACGUGGAUAACCUACCUAUAAGACUGGGAUAACUUCGGGAAACCGGAGCUAAUACCGGAUAAUAUAUUGAACCGCAUGGUGCAAUGGUGAAAGACGGUUUUGCUGUCACUUAUAGAUGGAUCCGCGCCGCAUUAGCUAGUUGGUAAGGUAACGGCUUACCAAGGCAACGAUGCGUAGCCGACCUGAGAGGGUGAUCGGCCACAUGGGAACGUGGACACGGUCCAGACGCCUACGGGAGGCAGCAGUAGGGAAUCUGCCGCAAUGGGCGGAAGCCUGACGGAGCAACGCCGCGUGAGUGAUGAAGGUCUUCGGAUCGUAAAACUCUGUUAUUAGGGAAGAACAAAUGUGUAAGUAACUAUGCACGUCUUGACGGUACCUAAUCAGAAAGCCACGGCUAACUACGUG